rnacentral:lncRNA from 1 species
GGAGGCCGGAGAGGCGUUUGCGGCCCAGCGCCUGGACUGGACCUUGGCGUUGGGCCGCAGUUGCCCGGAGUUUUUGGGGCCCCCGGGAACCCGCGCGCCGAGGCCGGCUAAGUUUGGCAGACUCUCUGAGCUCUCGGAAUUCGACUGCCUCCAUUGUUGCUCCUUCUGGCACCCACAGACCACAUCUCUUCAGUGGACCCCCUGAUAGGCCGGUUUGCUCCAGGUGAGGUGUGCUCACAGCAACUGCAACCGUGUUUCUUUCAGACCAUGGGCGUGAGCAGAACCUACUAUGCGCCCCUGCUGCCUGGGCUGUGCUGUUCAGUUUGGGGCCACCAGCCCCACAUGGCUCCUGAGCACUUAAAGUAUGGCUAGUCGGAAUCGAGAUAUAUGCAUUCUUUACCAAAUAAUGUUCAAAAAAUUGUUACAUGUUGAAGUGAUAAACUUUUUCCAUAUAUUGGGAUAAAAGUUUUAUUUGUUUAUUUUUUAGUGUGGGUUCUACAGAAUUUUAAAUGUCACCUGUGGCCUGCAUUAUAUUGCCAUUGGGCAGGCUGAUCUAGGGCUUGCAUGCCUGUGAUCCUUAGGUGCACCCUGUGAGGUAGGUGCUUUAACUGUGUGCACCCUGUGAGGUAGGUGCUUUAACUGUGUGCACAUUGUGAGGUAGGUGCUGAAACUGCUUCCUGUUUUUUUUUUUUUUUUCUUUUGAGACGGAGUCUCACUCUGUCUCCAGGCUGGAGUGCAGUGGUGCGACCUGGGCUUACUGCAAUCUCCGCCUCCCAGGUUCAAGUGAUUCUCCUGCCUCAGCCUCCCGAGUAGCUGGGAUUACAGGGGCACGCCACCACACCCAGCUAAUUUUUGUAUUUUUAGAAGAGACGGGGUUUCACCAUGUUGGCCAUGAUGGUCUCGAUUUCUGACCUUGUCAUCCGUCCGCCUUGGCCUCCCAAAGUGCUGGGAUUACGGGCGUGAGCCACCGUACCCAGCCUGCUUCCUGUUUUAACAGACGAAGAAAUGGAAUAACUUCCAACAACACAGGUUGGAGCUGAAGGAGUGCCCAGGCUGCGGAUGGAGGAAGGACGUGCUCGGGAGAAGGUGAAGAUGGGAGAGAAGCAAGAUCUUCUGUGUUUGGACCAAGGACACAUUUCCUUACUCCAUAGCAGCUGUGCAUGGAAUAUGGAUGUGUGGUCUGGAUGUACAGACACCAUUUUGGACCAUAAAGACAAGGACGAUUGUCUAAGGAUGACACAGCCAGAGCACUGAGAGUGGCGAGAAGGACAGGGGAGCUGCUGUGCCAAGCAGGACUGUCUCUCUUAAGAGAAAAAUAAAAUUUAUUGGUGUUUAAACCAUU